UGGGAACGCCGGGUGAGCGCGCCACGGGCCGCUGUGACAGGUCGGUGGUUACAGGUUACUUGUCGGGGACCGCAGACGCCUCGCGUCCGAGCCAUCUCACCUUGCCAUCACACCUGAACUUGCCCGUGAUGACCUUGGGAUAACCCCACGCUCCUGCGCAUGCGUGCCAGGAAGACCCAGGAAGACCGAUUACGCAUGCGUGAACUGCUGCCCCGCCCACCCAAGUCCCAGAGCCCGUCAAUCACAGCCCCUCACCACCUCCCCGUACUGGGACAGAACGCGGGGCCUUCGGGGCGACUUCCAUUCCAGCCCUUGCUAUGAAAUAUUUGAGACGGUUUCCGUGAAUUGCACAGUUGCAUUGGCUGGAUAUGGACUUGUGAUCUCCGGCCUCAGCCUCCCCAGUGCUGGGAUCACAGGUGUGCGCCUCACACCUGACUUAAAGCUGCA
rnacentral:lncRNA from 1 species